rnacentral:rRNA from 1 species
CCUACGAGCGGCAGCAGUGAGGAAUAUUGGUCAAUGGGCGGGAGCCUGAACCAGCCAAGUCGCGUGAGGGAAGACGGUCCUACGGAUUGUAAACCUCUUUUGCCGGGGAGCAACGGGGUCCUUGCGAGGGCCCGAUGAGAGUACCCGGAGAAAAAGCAUCGGCUAACUCCGUGCCAGCAGCCGCGGUAAUACGGGGGAUGCGAGCGUUAUCCGGAUUUAGUGGGUUUAAAGGGUGCGUAGGCGGGCUGUUAAGUCAGCGGUCAAAGGUCGGGGGUCAACCCCGGCCGGCCGUUAAAACUGGCGGCCUGGAGUGGGCGAGAAGUAUGCGGAAGGCGUGGUGGAGCGGUGAAAUGCAUAGAUAUCGCGCAGAACUCCGGUUGCGAAGGCAGCAUACCGGCGCCCGACUGACGCUGAGGCACGAAAGCGUGGGUAUCGAACAGGAUUAGAUACCCUUGUAGUC